rnacentral:lncRNA from 1 species
GGGGAGGGUUGGGAUCCCGCUAACAUGUUUAACCCCGCCCCAUUAUUUAUGUAUGUGCCUGUCCCAAGUCAGGAGCCUGUAAUUCAGUGGUUGUCGUUUGUUUAUGUGUUACAUAUUUGUUUUUCGUUCAUUUUUUUUACAUAAAUAAGGCCGUUAGUUUUCUCGUUUGAAUUGUUUUAUAUUGUCUUAUCGGGGCCUAUUAUAGCUGACUAUGCGGUAUGGGCUUUGCUCAUUGUUGAAGGCCGUACGGUGACCUAUAGUUGUUAAUGUCUGUGUCAUUUUGGUCUUUUGUGGAUAGUUGUCUCAUUGGCAAUCAUACCACAUCUUCUUUUUUUUAUA